CCGCAGCCUGAUCCCUCGACUGAGGCAGGGUCAGAGGGCUAAGGGUGACAUACUGUCCAGCGUCCGGUUCUUUGCAGCGUGGCUCGACUUUCGGGCGGCUGGCGAGGAUGCUAAUCCACAAGGUUCCUGAGCCCAACAUCCCUCCCUCCACAGUGAAUCCGCUAUUUCAAACAAAUCUGGGUUCUGCCCGCCGGGUGGCGCAAUGACAGUAGCCACCAGGUGACCCUGGUAACUCGCGCACCUAGGCCAGCGCCAAGCCGCCAGUCCGAGCCGCGCCCGAGGUCGCCCCCGCGAGUUGGCUCCCGGCCCAGAGGUCUCCAAGGGCAGCUAGAGUUCUCUCGCCAAACUCAAUGGAGGCGACGUACCUGCCACCCUAAGCUGUGACUCUCAAGAGCCAGGUGACCCUAAAUGAGGCCGCCUGUUUUCCAAACCAGUGGAUGGGGCAGCAGGGAAAAACCGUGGCUCCUGCCGUAUCACGGGGGGAGGGGGGCGCUCCUUUUUCCAGAAAAGACUAUUUGGGAAGUCUGUGGACCUGGAGCUGGGGUGGGGGAUCUCACAGUGCUUAGUGAAGGACUGGCCUCCCAUCCCCACCUCCAGCCAAGGCGUGAGUGGUGCUCUAACCUCCGGGUCUGGGAUCCCAGCCUCAGGUUUGCCAGCAGAUCGGCAGUCUCACUUCUGGAAAGAGCCAGUGCUGUGUAGUUGUGGCCUUGGGGCAUCUACAGUUCCUGCCUGGAAGAAGGAAGUCCAUGUCCCUGCCACCUGCUGAGGGGACCCCCAAGGAAGAGAAGCUACCUUAGUUGCCACUAUAUUUUAGUUGUGCUUCGUGGUGUGUGUGCUUCGUGGUGUGUGUGUGUGUGUGUGUGUGUGUGUGUUGAGUGGGUGGAGAACUGGCUGCCAUUGUCUGCUAAACUCUUCCUUUAUUCAGACUGUCACCUGCCGAGAGAAAGACCCUUCCCUAUACACCUACAGUGGCUGUCCUCUCCAUUGGGGAUCCCUCCAUUUAGGGUCCCACCUUUUGGGAAAGAAGUGUCUAGAAGGCGUAAAGACCCCCGUUGUGUAGUACACUGUUAUAGCGCCAUCCAUACCAGCAAAAGAAGUCUAUGUGGCCUAGCUGUGUUCCUCUCAGGGCUGACCUCUUAGGUCUCAGGUUCCAACCCUCUGUGCCUCCAUGGACCCAUGCUCUCAGGCCUCAGCUUUGCUGAGAAAGUAUAAAACUGAGUUCUCAUUGGGUACCCCAGGCUCUCAGUGCAGCUUCUUCCUGGUCCCCACCCAUGGGGGCAUAAUAUACUUAUUCUCAGAUCUCUAGACUGCUUGGAUUCUUGGAAGAAAGGAGGUGGAGCUCAUCCUGGCUCCACCUACAGUUUGAACCUUCCUGUCACUGGGGGCUCUAGUGACUCCCUGACCCCCAGAGGACUGGUAGUCAGCCCUGUUAGUUACGCAGCUACAGGCAUCUAUGGGCUGCCAGGAGCUGACCCAGCCCUGCCUAGUACAUUGGCACACAAGUUGUACCCUGAGCUCUUCUAGGCUAUGUUCAGAAUUGAGCCCAGUACAAGUCAUGGGCACACGGGUGGUGCUCCAGGCCCAUGCUAGGCCAUUGUUGGGUCAUCUUGAAAGAACAGUACAUCCUCCAGGUCUUUAGACUCUUCUCAAACUGACUGGUUCACAUCCUUGGCCACUAGACAGACCCUGAACAGACAUGAAGCUGUGACCAGGGCCUCCUUAGAACCGAACAGUAGGAAACUGCUUCCUAGUCCUUGACCUGAUAAUGCAGAAAUCGACAGUUCUUUAAAACUUAGAUAGAAACUAUAGAUACUGCCUCUCAAUUUACCUGUGGGCCACUGGACCUUGUUCAGGUGUGGACCAGUUCCUCCUUCUCUUAACUUUUCUUCCUGUCCCCACCCUCUUUCAUGGCUGGUCCAAGUUUUGCCCCAGUCUGCAUGACCUUGCCCUGGCCCCGAACUUCCCCAUUAUCGUGUGGGUUUUGCAGUUCUAGAGGGAGGAUCUCAUUGGCUAAACUUGCUCCAAGUGCCCAUUCCUGGACCAAUGGAUCUGGAGCCUGGGGAAGGGCCGCUGAGUAGGUCUGUAAACCUCAGCUUGGCUUGUGUGUCCUCAGCCCUAGCCUGGUUCUCCUUCUGCCCCUGCACCCGCAGCAGCUGGCAGGGCAUCCCCGCACAGACAUGGAGAUUUUUAAUUGCUGACGUUGGCCUGGAAGAAACAAAAUGUGCAGGCAGUGAAGGGUGAACUCAGAGCAGGACUCCUGUGGACUGUUGCCCUGCUCACUGUGUGCCCAGGGGCAGGAGAGGGGCACAGUGGAUCCACUUGUCACUCUAGAAGGCUGGUCUCCCAGUAGCAUGCUCAGGGCACUGGGUCAAGCACCUGGCCUCCCACCCCCUCUUCAUUCAGUGGUCUCAAGGAUGCGGUCAGAGCUGGCUGCAGUGGAAAUUGCAGUUGGGGUCACAGCUAGUCCUCAGUAGACCUGUCAUCUAUAGGGGAGCUGGUGAGGUCAGUUUGUACCCUCUCUGCUGCCCCAUGGUCCAUCCCUCAGACCUACAGGGGCAGUGUUCCUGCCAUGCCACAUCUGCAGCUUCCUCCUGUGUCAUGCCAUGCUAUGCUGUGUCUGCCGCAUGCCUCUGGCUCCAGGGAAGGGUGAGAAUGCUCCCUCCAGCCCAGCAGCAUCUUUGGCGUUUGAUGCUCCUUCAGACACUCUUCUGGGAUUUCUCAGUUUGAAAGGAUUCUGGAAAAGGUCUGUAUUUUAACCAUGCAGUGGAGACCAACAUAUAUCUGCUUCAGUGUGACAGACAGGUCUGUGCAGAGGCCAGAGAUGUGUUGGGAAAAGCCAUUGUUUCCACUGCUUUGCCCCAUUUCUUCUGGUACUCCUGGGUCCCUGAAUUUCAAGCUGGAAUCCUUCCUUCACCCUAUCAGGGUCCUGGGUGGAGCUGACUCCCAACAGUAUCCAGAGGGUCUUAGCACUUCGUCCUUGGCACAGGGCAGUUGGUGCUUUUGAAACCAAAGCCAACCUCAGUAGGGUCCUCAUGGCGCUCAAGCAGCUCUUCCUGGGUGGAAGCAAAUGCCGCGAAGUCCUCCACAAAGGUGCCGGCAUCUGUGACUGGGAUGGUGAAGUCUGGUGACAGAGUGUCAGCAUGGGCUAAGCUGGACUUGAAAGGCUCAUUCUGAUACUAGACACCUGGAUCUCCAGCCCCGUGCCUGGUGCGCAUCCUGGGGACCCCACACCACCGUGAUCCUAGCCUUUCCCCCAUCACCUAUGAGUAUUAGCUCCCCAGAAAUGAGGCAUGAUGGCCUAGAUAAAGCAGGUGUUAACGGGGACUCACCCAGAAACUCAUGGGCUACUUGGUUUCUGUGUUUGUCCUGCCAAGCACCAAUUCUCAGAUCCAGCAAGGUUUCCUGCCCAUCCAUGGUGCCCACAGUUGCAACUUUACCAAGCAGAACCCUGUUUCCUGAAUAAGCAGUAAAGCAAAUGACUUAGAAUAAAAAUGUAACAAAAUAACUCGACAGCCCAAACCUCUUUUGCCAUGAUUGAUGGUUCCAGAUACCUAUCAGUGCCUAAGGCAAAUUAAACACACCACUAAAUGGUU